rnacentral:rRNA from 1 species
AGAGUUUGAUCUUGGCUCAGGAUGAACGCUGGCGGCGUGCCUAAUACAUGCAAGUCGAACGCUUUGUGCUUAAUUGAUAUGAUGAGCUUGCUCUGAUUUGAUUUUUUGAUUUCAAAGAGUGGCGAACGGGUGAGUAACACGUGGGUAACCUACCUCUUAGCAGGGGAUAACAUUUGGAAACAAGUGCUAAUACCGUAUAAUACCAACAACCGCAUGGUUGUUGGUUGAAAGAUGGUUCUGCUAUCACUAAGAGAUGGGCCCGCGGUGCAUUAGCUAGUUGGUAAGGUAAUGGCUUACCAAGGCAAUGAUGCAUAGCCGAGUUGAGAGACUGAUCGGCCACAAUGGGACUGAGACACGGCCCAUACUCCUACGGGAGGCAGCAGUAGGGAAUCUUCCACAAUGGGCGCAAGCCUGAUGGAGCAACGCCGCGUGUGUGAUGAAGGGUUUCGGCUCGUAAAACACUGUUAUAAGAGAAGAACGGCACUGAGAGUAACUGUUCAGUGUGUGACGGUAUCUUACCAGAAAGGAACGGCUAAAUACGUGCCAGCAGCCGCGGUAAUACGUAUGUUCCAAGCGUUAUCCGGAUUUAUUGGGCGUAAAGCGAGCGCAGACGGUUAUUUAAGUUUGAAGUGAAAGCCCUCAGCUCUAACUGAGGAAUUGCUUUGGAAACUGGAUGACUUGAGUGCAGUAGAGGAAAGUGGAACUCCAUGUGUAGCGGUGAAAUGCGUAGAUAUAUGGAAGAACACCAGUGGCGAAGGCGGCUUUCUGGACUGUAACUGACGUUGAGGCUCGAAAGUGUGGGUAGCAAACAGGAUUAGAUACCCUGGUAGUCCACACCGUAAACGAUGAGUGCUAGAUGUUCGAGGGUUUCCGCCCUUGAGUGUCGCAGCU